CGCAUUAUAGCGUUUAUAAUCUAAAUCUAAAAACAAUCAAAAACUACGAUUGUUAGAUAAGAAGACUUCAGUUUUCUUCACACUACGUCUUCGGGAUGAGUGCCCAGCGCACUUUCAGCUGCUAGCCACAAAGGAUGGGACUGGAUUGAGGGUGUACCAUGUGAAUUUGGAUCACAAUCAUUCCCUCGAUCCAGUCCUAAACGACAUGCUGCCCCGCAACAACCACCUUAGGCGCCAGAUGCAGAGGACUGCCUCCAUCCUCUUGCAAUCCACCCUCCCCCACGGUGAAAUAUGCAAAUAUUUUCAAUUGAGGACGGGGAAAACCAUUAAUGAAUUGAACCUGCGCAAACGCUACACCACCAAGCACAGGUUCAGCCCCGUCCUCAUAAGCCAAACUGCCACAGAGGUGGUUGAGUGGCUGAGGGUGGCGGCGCUUCAGGAGGAAUAAUGCGUGGGAGGGAGGAAGAAAAGGACUAUGGAGCCUGAUAAGGAUGAAUUGAAGAUUCUUCUCCAGCGAUUCAAAAACUUUGUCUGAAACUUCAUCCGAUGGCUCUGACACCUGCUCAACAGCCACAACUUCCGGGAUGUAGAAUUGUAACAUGUUCUGCACACCAUUCUUCAGGGUGACGAUUGAACUUGGACAGGAAGAGCAUGAUCCUUGCAUUUUUAGCUGAACCACCCCAUCUUUGUAGCCCAUAAAAAUAAGAUCUCCACCAUCUUCCUGCACUGUUGGACGGAUUCGUGUGUCCAGCAACUCCUUGAUCAUCAUCACAGUCUCAUCGUCAUCGUCAUUAAUUUCUUAAUCAAAUUGAAUUCCAUUAAAUUCAUAAAUAAAUUUAAGAAAGUCUCACACAA